AAAGUCGUAACAAGGUCUCCGUUGGUGAACCAGCGGAGGGAUCAUUACCGAGUUAUUACUCCAAACCCUUUGUGAACCUUACCUAUUACUGCUGUUGCCUCGGCGGACGGCCGGGAGGGCACCCCCUCGCGGGGCCGCCCGACCAGCCCCCGCCGGCAGCACCAAACUCUUGAAUUUAUAGCGAAACUACUUCUGAAUAACAAAAACAAACGAAUCAAAACUUUCAACAACGGAUCUCUUGGUUCUG
rnacentral:misc_RNA from 1 species